AUUGAACGCUGGCGGCAUGCCUUACACAUGCAAGUCGAACGGCAGCACGGGUGCUUGCACCUGGUGGCGAGUGGCGAACGGGUGAGUAAUACAUCGGAACGUACCUUAUCGUGGGGGAUAACGCAGCGAAAGCUGUGCUAAUACCGCAUACGCCCUGAGGGGGAAAGCGGGGGAUCGAAAGACCUCGCGCGAUUAGAGCGGCCGAUGCCUGAUUAGCUUGUUGGUGGGGUAAAAGCCCACCAAGGCGACGAUCAGUAGCUGGUCUGAGAGGAAGAUCAGCCACACUGGGACUGAGACACGGCCCAGACUCCUACGGGAGGCAGCAGUGGGGAAUUUUGGACAAUGGGGGCAACCCUGAUCCAGCAAUGCCGCGUGAGUGAAGAAGGCCUUCGGGUUGUAAAGCUCUUUUGUCGGGGAAGAAACACCGGCUCUAACACAGUCCGGGAAUGACGGUACCUGAAGAAUAAGCACCGGCUAACUACGUGCCAGCCGCCGCGGUAA
rnacentral:rRNA from 1 species